rnacentral:lncRNA from 1 species
CCUGAAGCUGAUGGUGACAGAGAGAAGAGCCAGGAUGAGAAAAGCAGAUCGUGAACCGCACAGGAGGAGCUGCAGCUCUUCGUCCCCAGGGCAGGGCAGGCUCCUGGGCUUCCGCUGCCGCCGGAUGCGGACGUCUCGGCUCCGGAGGACGACGAGGAGAUGGAAGGGGACUGAGUGGCCGCCGAUGGCUCCGCCAUGGCUACUUGAAGAAAACAUAUUUACCCGUCCUCUCCUGUUCAAAGAGGAUAUAUUUUCCCCUGUCUUCUGACAUUCUUUGUAUUCAUAGUUGGUGUCUGAAAAACUUCAUUUAAUGGGCUUGCUCUGUCACCCAGGCUGAAGUACAGUGGUGCGAUCUUGGCUUACAGGUAGAGGUUGCAAUCUCUACCUCCCGGGCUCAAGUUAUCCUCCCACCUCAGCCUCCUGAGUAGCUAGGAUUACAGCCACUCUCUUUAAGGAAGCGGUGUUAUAUGCAAUUUCAUCCUAUGCUUUUGUUACUACCUUUCUAACAUUGGUGACAUGUUGGGAAAUUGAAUCAUGGGUAAAUUUUCAUCUUCUGCUUAAUAACCACAGUUCUCAGGGAAGGAGGUUAUAAUUACUCCUGAUGACUACCUUGCUUAAACAUUCUUUUCAGAAAUGGGAUUAUCUCAAAGACUGCAUGAGUUGAAACCAUGAGAAUGUUUUUCUACUAUCAGCAGUAUCAAGCGUAUUCUGUGUAUAGUACAGGUAUACCUUGGAGAUAUGGCAGGUUUGCUUUUGGACCGCCGUAUUGCAAUAAAGUGAGA